GCGUCACAGGAAUUUAAAUUUAACAUUGCGAAAAGAGCCGUGAGAGCAGCUAUGUUGUUUUUUGAGGGGGUCCCAUGAAACGCACAUGAGAGCAGAGUUAUGUGUGGGCCAGCUAGGUGACAGAGAGGAGACCGUAGUCAUGACGAUGAUUAAAGACUGAAGAAUGCUGAGAAUGUGUGAGGAGCAGGAGUGGACAUACUGGUGGUUUAGACAGCCAGACUGUGAGCCUACCAAGCCUUCAGAGCUGCUUUUAAAUGUUCUUGUGGGUUUCUAUUUUUGCCUUUGAUGAGUGUGGUUUAAAAAAAAAAAGCCUAAGCCCAUUUGGAGGGUGUACUGAACUUUGAUUGGUUCACCUUUGAUUUGAUUGGUAGGUGGGCGAAUCACGGAUAUUUAUUUCGAUAGGAGAGCGGGGCCUGAUUUCUUCUUUACCAGCUCUUGUGUGGCAGCAGCAAGCUGCAGCGGGAUAGUCUCUGUUUUAAGCAAGCCUACGGAAUGGCGAUCGUGAGCACGAAGGCAAGAGAAACCACGUCACAGAAAUAAGGCUAAAAAAAAAAUAUAUACAUACGUAUACACACCAGCAUAUGAGCCCAUGUGGCCAACCGAACGUCGGGCUGGGCCUUCGGUGGCCCGGGGGAGUACCGCGUGGAUUUAUGACUUGCCCGUCCCGGGGAGGUAAAGCAGCCGGUGACAGGGUGAAAUACGCCGGAUUAGAACCGGGAGCCGCCGUGGCGGGAACGGUCCAUCUGCGAAAAUGUCACAAGCCUUUUUUUUUUUUUUUUAACGCUGUAAAAAUUAUUGAUUGACUUUAUAUGGUCUGAUAAUGCAUUCCAGGCCUCAGAAACCUGGGAGCUGGAAGCGCGUUUCCCCCUGGGUCACUGU